rnacentral:lncRNA from 1 species
GGGGAAUAAAAUAAGAUAAAGUGAGAUUUUAGGGGGGAAAUAUAGGUUGGGAUUGGAUGGAAAGUUAAAGAGAAAGUUUAGGAAUCUUUUAAAGGGCUGUUAGAUAUAUAUAGGGUUAGUUUUGAUAUUAUUUGAAUGUAAGGAGACUGUGCUUAACUUUUUAAAAUGAUCAAAAUUUAUCUAAAAGAUUUGGACUUCAAUAGUAGUUGGCCCAAGAAUCCCAUUAAAAUUAGACAACUAGGUUACAAAAAGUAAACAUUAAGAGGAUGUUUGGUAAUGUUUCUGUUUUUUGUGUUUGUUUAAUUUUUUAUAAAACAAAAACUAAAAUUAUAUUUGUAUUCACUUGUUUUAAAACUAUUUUAAAAAAUAAAAAUAUGUUGGUUUCACCUAUUUUUAAAUUAUUUAAAAAAAAAAGGCGAGGGGAGGGGGGGGGAGAAGGGGGGGCGGGAGGAGCCGGGGGGAGGUGAGGAGGCCCCCUCCUUUCCCGCCCCCCUAUUGGGGGCGGCUGGGGAGGAGGUGGGGGUGGAGUGGGUGGCGGCAAGUGGUGAGAUAAGGACGGGUGGAGGAGAGAGGAGGCCGGUGGGGUGGUUUAGUGGUGGAGAGGAGGUGGUGGAGGUGAGAGGUGGUGGUGGAGGAGAGGAGGAGGAGGUGGUGGUGAGGCGCGGCGACAGUAGAGGCGGGUGGUGGAGGAGGAGGAGAGCGCGGUUGGUUAGUGGUUUGGCCCUGAGGGGGAGGGAGGAGAUCCAGGGGGAGGUGGGGGUGGAGGGGGUGGGUGGGGUGGGCGUGGGGUGAGGAGGUGGUGGUGGGAGAGUAGGAGGACGGGUGGCGGGGGGGGGGUGGUGGUGUGGGGAGGAUGGUGUUUUUUGUUUUGGGUUUUUUCGGAGGCGGGUGAUGAGGUGGUGGAGGAGGAGGAGGUCAGUGGAGGUGGAGGUGGUGGUGGUGGUUGAAAAAAAUUGGAUAAAAAAAUUUUAUAACAAAAACAUAAAUAACUUGGUCUUAUUUUCACUAUUUUCAAAAAUAAUAAAAAUUAUGUAGCCUUGUUUUCAUUUAUUUUUUACAACACAAACAAGUUUUCUGUUUUCAUUAAUAAAAACAGAAAAACGAAAACAGAAAAACGAAAAUUAAACAGUUACCAAACAUCACCUAAACAAACAAGAUUUUAUUUCGGAAGAAUAAAAAAAAAACUUCUUAUAAAUAAUUUUUAUUGUAUUUUGAUAUUAUUUUAAGUCAUUAAAUGUGAGCGGCGGCUUAAAAGUAUUUUUUUAAUUUUUAAAAAAAAAAUUAAAAUUAUUUACUCCAGGCCAACCAAUUGGGGCUUGAAUCCCCAACCUGCGUAUUUUAAAAUGGUCUAGCGGUUAAAAAUUGUCGGACAAAACAAAAAAGUGCAAGUAGUAUCAAACUCAACCAAUUGAAAAAAAAUUCCCAACCGAUAGGGAUAGAGCAAAUGGGAUACAACACAACCCUCCAAAUGGUUGAACCCAUGGCCAAUCGGUUGACUCUGAAGAAACACAGCCUUGAAGAAAGCAGGCCAACCGCCUCUAGUUUCACCUUUUGAAGAUGGUUGCGAAAUACAAAAGUCAACAUGAAGGGCUACUUUCCAAGGGUCUGUUUUUGUUGGAUCUGUUCCUGCUUAUAUCUUUCAAAGCCCAUAUAGAUGGAGGGAAUCAUGAUUGAGAGAGCUCAAAGCCCAUAUAGAUGGAGGGAAUCUUAGUAUUGAAGAGAGCUUAGAGCAUAAGACACUUUUGUUUUGGGGAAUUCUUCAUAUUCUCUCUUCCUUUACUACUUUUUACAUUUUUGUUUUUUCAAUUCUUAGUUUUAAAUUAGAUUAGGUUAGAUUGAGUUUAGAGUUAGAGAGAGUUGAAGAAAGGUAGAAGAAGAUUGAUUUUAAGUUGAAAAUUUAUAAUUUCUUGAUUCUACUAUUUUGAUUGAAUAGUUGCAUGCUUAAUUUAUUUAAGUAGUUGAUUUUCAUUUAUGUUAUUGAAUCUCCAUUUCCUUUUUAAAUUUGUGUUAGUUUCUUUUGUUUUAUUUUUUUAUUUUUUAUACAUGAUUGAGUCUUUCACAUCCACGGAGGGCUAAGUAUAUUGGCUUGGUUCAAGAACUAUAUCUUAUUCCAAUGCAUAGUUUAGCUUGUUCUCUCCCUUUAAAUGAUUCAAUGCUUGUUUUAGGCUGAUUAAUGGUCUUCUUAAGAUCAAAACUAAGAGUUGUAUAAAAUUUUGAUUAUUUAUCAAUAAAUUCACUUAGUAGUACAAGCAAUGCUUAAAUCUCUUGCACUCUAGGUAUUUGAAACAUUUUACAAGGCCAUUACAAUCCCUCCAAACAUCUUUAAAGACAAAAUUAUUUUAUUACAUAGUGAUAAAAAUACAUGAAAAGUGUUUUAUUCUAGUAUAAAAAUAUCUUAAAAGAUGCUUAAGGUAAGAUUUCCAAUAUUAUUUGAGGUCUUUUAUCUUCCUGAGAAGAAAAAUUGAACCUUCAAAAACCUUGAUUUUAAGCAUCUUUUAAG